CCGUAUAAGAUAAGAAUGGACGUUGGGACUGAGACGAUGUAUGACAGACUCAACAACUUGCUUGAAAGAUUUUGUACCCCAUGGGUACGAAUCAAAAUGACCACUCUCUAUAAGAAAAAACGUAAAUUUUUCUAUCAAACUAACAUUGUCCUUAUCAGAAGGACAAACAAAGAAUUCCAACAUAUAUAGAAUACACAACUGUACAGCAUCCAAAUCAUUUGUCCAGGAUUUGGAUGUCACUACAUUUCUCAAAAGCGAUUUCUCUACCCGAGAUUUGUUAGGGANNN
rnacentral:lncRNA from 1 species